AAAAAAGAUUAAGAACAGCUUGACAGCUUGCCCUAAAACGAUGAGAUGUUGACACUGAGGUCACUUUUCUUAGCCAACAACUUCCUUCUUUCUUUUCUUUUUUUUUCAAAUUCAUUGCCACAAAACAGCAAGAAACACACCCAGGAAACUUAGCAUCAGUGCUAAGAUCUCUUAUAUAUUGACUGAGUCUAACGAAGUGUUAAAACCACCUCUGGAUCCAACUGUCAGGAUGCAGCUGCCAGGCUUGAUUGUUUUUAGUCUCAUGUUGGUUCCUGCCUGUAACUCAAAAGGUGAAAAAUGGAAUCUAACUGUCAGUAGAAAUAUCACUGCUGAAAAGGGCUCAAACAUUACCAUACCGUGCAACUUCACCUAUCCAUCAAAGCAUCACACGGACAAUGUUAGUGUCUACUGGAAAAAGUGGGGCCAAAGCUUAUGCAGCAAGAAUGACAAAGAUACUAAUGCAUUCAUUUAUCACCCGAAUGAGUUGUGUGUGGUUGAGAAGUACAGGAGAAGGACUUUACUCGAAGGGGAUAAAGCCAGAGGAAGCUGCUCCCUCAAAAUCUUAAACAUCACCAGCAAUGAAUUGGACAUCUACGUGAGAAUUUCUGUCAAAGGUGACAACUACAGCUUCAAAGGGAACUCUGUCUCUAUUUUUGUCAAAGGGUCAGGUUAUGAAGCAGUCACCUCAAACCCAGACAGUUUCUCAUCUUUCACCCUUGAAGACACGACAAUGGAGGUGAUCCUAAAUACUUCGACAACCAUGUAUUUGGCCAUCUUUAUACCUCUUGCUACACUUGUAAUCAUUCUUCUUGUGGCUGGAAUUUCCAUUAUCGCAAAACGCAGAAGGUCUCAGACUUUGACCAGGGAGGAAUCUGGAUACUACGUAAACUUCAGCAGAGCCUCCUCUAGCCCACCCAGUGAAUCAUGUUCUAAAAAAGACGUGAAUUGUCCUCAACCAAAAGUCAUUGAUGAUCCUGUCUACGCCAAUGUUCAGAACCCAACAGGUCAAAUGAACCAGAAUAUGGAUACCACGGACAACAUAUAUGUAAAUGUGGAUUAUUCAAAAUAGCACAAAUGCUGCACAACUGUACUUUAAUUUAUCAACUCUGAUAGCUGUCUUUAGUACAUUAGAAUCAGACUCCAGAUUUGGACAGUUUUACAUUGACAAUAACAAGGAAACAAUGUGAACAGAAGUAUUAUUCAUAUCAUGUUAGAACAAUGUAAAUAAUCCACUGCUUCUUAAAUGAUUUUUAGUUUCAUUCGUUCAUGGCUUUGUCAUUGUAUAAGCACAAUAAUUAGCUAGAUAGCAGAAUGUGGCUACUGCUGAUAAUGUUGGAGGAGAUGUGGGGGAUUCACUGAGUCACAAGACUCCACUGUUUGUAGUAGACAGUCCAAUGCAAACAGUACUGCCAGCCUGUUUACAUGCCUUCACCAGCAUGCAAAGCUUUCUAUCACUCAUUCAAUCUGCAUAAGCGUGUAAAUAUCUGAGCUUCCAAAGGUUGACAGCAGGCCUUCCACACAGCGCAGCUUGUAUUACCUGCCAGUGUCAGUGUUGCAGCACUGACUGUUGCAGGAAAUGAUGAUAAUAAGCCUUUAGCCCUUUGCAACGUUGAAGUUCUGUUUUCUGUGGAAUUUAUAAUGCAUGGUUAAUAGUUAAUAGCGUAUAUACAGCAGGCUGUAACAUGUUAAUCAGUUUUGCUCCUUUUUUUUAAACAAGAUUUAAUUUAUUGCCCCGUGAUAGCAUGUUAAAUUCAUAGACGUUACCAAAAAUAAAGCAUAAAAAGGUGAUCGUCUCUUGUCAGCAGUGUCCUUUUACACAGACAACUACAAAUCUGGGGGUAAGUGAUCUUAAACAUGACGUCAGUGGUCAAGUCCAGUUUUUAUCAGUUAGGGCAACUAGCCAAAGUGAAAGUCAUUGCUUUCUGGAUUUUAAUCCAUGCUUUUAUCACAUCUCAACUAGACUAUUGAUGUACAAGUUAUGUUGGGCAGAGUCAGACCUGCUUCAGCCUCCCUCAGGCCUCUCAGAUCUGUCUCUUUUAGCUGUUCCUGAGACAAAGAGGAGAGUGAGAGGUGAUCGUGCUGCCCCAGAACAAGUUGCCUCUGCAUAUCAGGCAGGCUGACUCGCUUCCUCUCCAAAAACACAUAUUUUCUCUUUUGCUUUAAACUCAGUUUUAAAUGUUGGCUUUUAAUGUUUUAAUGUUUCAUUGUUUUAAUUUUUUAUAUGUUUUUCAUUCUUUUAUGUGUUUUAUAUGUUCUUAUAUAUUUCUACAGCCCUUUGGCCAGC
ensembl:lncRNA